UUUUAUUUUGGACAAAUCAAGGAAUAUGCCUUCAAUUGCAUCAGUUCCCUUACCAACAAAAGCAAAAACUGAAUUAGCAUAACGUCCACAAAAAAAUAUUUAUUAAAAUCUGUCGUUACAAUUUUUGUUCGACAUGUAAUAACUAAGUUUUUGCUUCGGAUUCAUUUCUAUAUUAAGCUUUGUGAAUCAUCUCUCCAUGAUAUGAAAGUUUCUACUGGCAAAGGUUCUGCAAAAGAAAUGAAAUUGUCAAAGGGUGCCGGGGUUGUCGGCGAUGACCCUCCGACGCUCAAGUCAGCCUUUCAAAUUUUAUCAUAGAGAGAGAAAGUUUUAAGAAAAAAGGACAACAUUUCGUUACCAUUUUUUCUCCUUCCCCUUUGUGUGGAAAGUUCUGAUCAUUAUAUAGGCAGCUUAAUUCAUGAGGUGGAGGUGUCAUCAUGACACGUGGCAUUGUUUUAGUGACAAGUGUCUUCGAAACUCAUGCAUGAAGACACCUGUCAUUACGUGUCAAACUUGCUCACUAUCAAGUCUUCUUUGGACACUUGUCAUGAUUUCGAGCUCUUGACCUUUGUUGGGCUCGAGCAUUUAAGCUCUUAUGUUGGUUCCUUGUAAAAAGGAAUAGUUUUGCGGCAUUUCGCAUGUAUGUAACUUUUGUAGAAUGUUACUUUCAAGUAAAUGCUGAACAUCUAAGUAAUUAUUUGUAGAAAAUGGACCUAGGUCAUUCUUUGUAAUGAAUAGGUCUAGGUCGCUCUUUGUAGAUACAAGCGUUUGGCGUUUUACCGAAAAGUUGCCCUUUGAGCGUUUAAAAUGGACCUAGGUCAUUCUUUGUAACGAAUAGGUCUAGGUCACUCUUUGUAGAUAGAAACGUUUGGCUUUUUGCCGAAAAGUUGCCCUUUGAGUGUUUAAAAUGGACCUAGGUCCCUCUUUAUGAAGAGUGGACCUAGGUCACUCUUUGUAGAUAUAAACGUUUGGCUUUUUGCCGAAAAGUUGCCCUUUGGGCGUUUAAAAUGGACUUAGGUCCCUCUUUAUGAAGAGUGGACCUAGGUCACUCUUUGUAGAUACGAACAUUCGGCGUUUUGCCGAAAAGUUGCCCUUUGGGCGUUUAAAAUGGACCUAGGUCCCUCUUUAUGAAGAGUAGACCUAGGUCACUCUUUGUAGAUAUAAACGUUUGGCUUUUUGCCGAAAAGUUGCCAUUUGGGCGUUUGAAAUUGACCUAGGUCCCUCUUUAUGAAGAGUGGACUUAGUUCACUCUUUGUAGAUACGAACGUUCGGCGUUUCGCCGAAAAGUUGCCCUUUGGGCGUUUAAAACGGACCUAGGUCAUUCUUUAUGAAGAGUGGACCUAGGUCGCUCUUUGUAGAAAAUGUAUAUUGGUCACCUUUUGUAGAAACUUACCUUGAGCGUUUUGUCGAAGAGUCGCCCUUUGGGCGUUUUAUCUAGAAUGGACCUAUAUAUUUCUUUAUAAAAAGUGGACCUAGGUCGCUUUCUAUAGAAAAUGGCGUUUUGCCGAAGAGUUGCCCUUUGAGCAUUUUAUCUAGUGAAAGAAAGAACCUAGGUCCCUUUGUUGCAAUUUGCUCACGGGCGUUUUGCUCAGAAAAUUAUUUCUAAGGAAUUGGACCUAGGUCAUCCUAUGCAAGAAAGGACCUAGGUCCCUUUGUUGCAAUUUGCUCACGAGCAUUUUGCUUAGAAAAUUGUUUCUAACAAUUUCUGUAGAUUGACACUACAUAUAUGUUUAUAAAACCUUCGCGAUAACUAGCCUUUAAGCUUUUCGCACUGUAGGUUGACACUACACAUAUGUUUAUAAAACCUCUGCGAUAACUAACCUUUAAGCUUUUCGCAACUUGAAUUCACAAUUGAUUGAAAGCGUUCAUCAUGAAUUAUGCAAGUUUAAUAUGAUGCACUGUCGCUUCGUAUAAUAUCAUUAUCGGAAUAAUAAAAGAAAUUUAAGGCAACUAAACUUUUAUUAAUCCGUAGGUUCAUAACAAAACUUGUCCGAUCAUAAAAUUUUUCGGACUUUACUGAUAAUAUGCUCUAAGGUGCUCGGCAUUCCAAGCGUGCCUGAGGAUAUUACCGUCAAUAGUAGAAAGGGAAUAGGUCCCUGGCCUUGCAACAUCUUUCACAAUGUAAGGUCCUUCCCAGUUUGGCCCAAGAGUCCCAACCCCCGGAUCUUGCAUAUUAGGAAGGACUUUCUUCAAGACCAAAUCUUCAAGACCAAAUCUUUAACAAUUUCUGUAGAUUGACACUACAUAUAUGUUUAUAAAACCUCUGUGAUAACUGGCAUUUAAGCUUUUCGCAACUUGAAUUCACAAUUGACUAAAGCGCUUAUCAUGAAUUAUGCAAGUUUAAUAUAAUGCACUGUCGCUUCGCAUAAUAUCAUUAUCUGAAUAACAAAAGAAAUUUAAGACAACCAAACUUUUAUUAAUCCGUAGGUUAAUAACAAAACUUGUCUGAUCAUAAAAUUUUUCGGACUUUACUGAUAAUAUGCUCUAAGGUGCUCGGCAUUCCAAGCGUGCCUGAGGAUAUUACCGUCAAGAGUAGAAAGGGAAUAGGUCCCUAGCCUUACAACAUCUUUCACAAUGUAAGGUCAUUCCUAAUUUGGCCCAAAAGUCCCAACCCCCGGAUCUUGCAUAUUAGGAAGGACUUUCUUCAAGACCAAAUCUUCAAGACCAAAUCUUUAACAAUUUCUGUAGAUUGACACUACAUAUAUGUUUAUAAAACCUCUGUGAUAACUGGCAUUUAAGCUUUUCGCAACUUGAAUUCACAAUUGACUAAAGCGCUUAUCAUGAAUUAUGCAAGUUUAAUAUAGGAGUAGUUCUGUACGACCAUAGGACAAAGGGAAGUUCUUCCGGCCAAUCGCCCUUAGCUUUUUCAAGCUUAGUCUUGAGAGUUUGCUUUAUCACUCGAUUGGCUGCCUCUACUUGCCCAUUUGCUUGAGGAUGAGCUGGAGAGGAUUAGUGAUUUGUUAUGCCAAGGGCCUUACAGAAGGCUUUAAAACUGGCAUUGUCAAAUUGCUUGCCGUUAUCAGUGAUGAUGGUAUGAGGGACUCCAAAUCUACAGAUGAUGUUUCUUUUGAUGAAGUCUGUUGUCUUUUUUUCAGUAAUUGUUGCCAAAGGCUCCGCUUCGACCCACUUAGUAAAGUAGUCUAUAGCGACAAUAGCAAACUUUACUUGGCCUUUUUCCUGUAGGCAAAGGGCCAAUAAGAUCAAUACCCCACUGGGCAAAAGGCCAAGGCGAAAGCAAAUUAAUUAAGUCUUCCGGUGGCUGCCUUGGGAUUUUAGCAAACCUUUGACAUUUAUCACAUUUCUUCGUCAACUCAAGGGCAUCUUUAUGCAUGGUUGGCCAAAAAUAUCCUUGCCUUAUUGCCUUGUAUGCUAGCAUCCUGCCACCCGAGUGGUUUCUAUAUAUUCCCUAAUGAAUUUCUCUUAAAACAUAAUUUGCAUCCGCAAGAGCAAGACAUUUCAAGAGGGGGAGAGAGAAACCUCGUUUGUAUAGUUCACCAUCAACAACCAGAUAUCUGGUAGCUCUAAGUCUUACUUUUCGAGCUUCAUUUUUAUCUGCUGGUAACUCCCCAUUUAUCAAGUACUUCUCAAUAGGCUCCAUCCAUGUUGCCCUUCGAUCUAUAGUCGCCACUUCUUUAACCUCUGGUCGCAGGAUACUUGGUUCUGGGAUCGUAGCAAUUGGGACUGACCUCAACAAAUUUCUUUCAGGUGUAGAUGCGAGUUGGGCUAAGGCAUCUGCUCAUUGGUUUUGUUCUCGAGGAAUUUGCCUUAUUUCAAACCUCUCAAAAUCUUUCAGCAACUCAUUAACUCGCUCAAGAUAAGCAAUCAUGUUUAAAUCUCGAGCUUCAUAGUUACAAUUGACUUGAUUGACUACUAGUUGUGAGUCGCUAAAUAUCAAUAAGUUCUUCACACCAAGGGCUUGUACUAAUCUAACUCCAGCAAGCAAGGCUUCAUACUCGGCCUCGUUAUUAGUUGCAUCAAAUCCGAAUCGCAGGGCACAUCCAAUUUCUGUUUUAUCUGGUGUGAUAACAAUCAAUCCUCCUCCACUGCCCUUACUAUUAGAUGCGCCAUCAACAUAAAGAGUCCAUUGCUCGGAUUGUUCUUCUAAAACUUCUGAAUGUGGAGUUUCUACUUCUGUAAAGUCUGCAAUGAAAUCUGCCAUCAACAUAAAGAGUCCAUUGCUUGGUGUGAUAACAAUCAAUCCUCCUCCACUGCCCUUACUAUUAGAUGCGCCAUCAACAUAAAGAGUCCAUUGCUCGGAUUGUUCUUCUAAAACUUCUGAAUGUGGAGUUUCUACUUCUGUAAAGUCUGCAAUGAAAUCUGCUACUGGUUGCCCUCUAACUGAAGUGCGAGGUUUAAAUUGGAUAUCAAAUUCACCAACUCUACUGUCCAUUUGACCAAUCUCCCUGACACAUCAGGUUUUGCCAAAGUCUGCUUCAGUGGUUGGUUUGUUAAUACAAUGACCUAAUGAGCUUGGAAGUAUGGUCAUAAUCUCCGCGCUGAAACGACUAGCGCUAGAGCAAGCUUCUCUAAAUUUGAAUAUCGAGUCUCUGCAUCAGCCAAGGCUCGACUUGUGUAAUAAAUUGGCCUUUGGAUCCCAUUGUCAUCUCGAACAAGAACGGAACUUGUUGCUGAGUUAGAAACUGCUAAGUACAUGUAAAGUGACUCGCCCUCAGAUGGUUUAACUAGAAGCGGUGGAUUGCUGAGAUAGUCUUUCAACUUCUGAAACGCUUCUUCGCAUUCUUUGGUCCAUAUCAUCUCUUUCUCUUUCUUUAAGGCUUUAAAAAAAGGAAGGCAUUUGUCAGUAGCCCUUGAGACAAAACGAUUUAGAGCAGCGAUUCGUCCAGUUAGCUGCUGGAUUUCUUUCACAUUCUUUGGUGACUUCAUGUUGAUCAAGGCUUGGAUUUUUUCAGGGUUAACUUCAAUUCCUCUUUGAUUUACCAUGAAUCCCAAAAACUUUCCUGAGGCCACUCCAAAGGCACACUUAGCUGGAUUAAGCUUCAUCUUGAAGUUCCUUAGGUUAUCAAAAGUCUCACGGAGAUUUCUGAUGUGAUCAUUUGAGUUUUUGCUCUUUGUCAGCAUGUCAUCCACAUAAACUUUCAUUGUGUGACCUAUCUGAUUGGCAAACAUUGCAUUCACAAGCCUUUGAUAGGUUGCCCCAGCAUUCUUAAGCCCAAAAGGCAUGACUUUAUAACAAUAAAGGCCUCGAUCAGUAAUGAAUGCAGUCUUUUCUUGAUCAGGCUCAUGCAUCCAAAUCUGGUUGUACCCGGAAUAGGCGUCCAUGAAACUAAGGAGUUCAUGUCCAGCUGUGGCAUCCACAAGCUGAUCAAUCUGUGGCAAAUGGAAGCUAUCCUUGGGACAUGCUUUGUUGAGGUCAGUAAAGUCUACACACAUCCUCCACUUUCCAUUGGCUUUCUUUACCAUGACAACGUUUGCAAGCCAUUCUGGAUACCUAGCUUCUUUGAUAAAUUUUGCCUUUAAGAGCUUGUCCACCUCCUCUUUAACAGCUACAGCUCUCUCGGCAUUUAAAAUCCUUUUUUGUCGAACAGGUUUUGUCAGAGGCUUAGUACUUAAGCGAUGAACAAUUAUCCUCGGAUCAAUUUCCGGCAUAUCUUAGUGAGUCCAUUCAAACACAUAUGAGUAUUCCUUUAGGAAAUCCACAAGUUGUUCCCUAAGUGGAUCGACUAAUUGGGACCCAAUUUUAACUGCCUUGUUGAGAUCAUCUCCAAGGGGAAUUUGAACCAAGUCUUCAACGGGAUUCGUUCGUUGAUCAUCCCUCACUGUUCUGGGGUCCAGACUUGUGAUUUGAAAUGACUCAUUUCCUUUCUUGAAGGAAAUCUCAUAACAUUCUCGAGCCUCUUUCUGAUUUCCUCGAACUACUCCUAUGCUAGCCUCCGUAGGAAACUUCAAAGUAUAAUGAUAAACAGAAGUUGCGGCCUUAAUAGCAUAUAAGGUUGGUCGUCCUAAGACUGAAUUGUAUGCACUCGGUUGAUCUACCACUAUAAAUCGAACCAUUGAGGUAACUUUAGUCAGAGUUUUGCCAAAAGAUACAGUAAGCUCAAUCAUUCCCUCGGGGAUAACACUUCCUCCAGCAAAUCCAUGCAAUUGAGUAGUGUAUGGCAUUAAUUGGGAUCUUUCCAAUCCCAUCUUUGUGAAGGCUGAAAGAAAUAAUAUAUCAGCCGAGCUUCCAUUAUCGAUCAAGAUUCGGUGGAGUCGCUUAUUUGCCACGGGUAGAGUUACAACAAUGGCAUCACAAUGAGGGUGAUGAAUGCCCCGAGUGUCUUCUUCAGAAAAAAUUAUUGGAGUGUCACGAAACCUUGAAUUUUGUAGGCGAUCUGUUAAAUUUAUAUCCAGCCCAUUAGGCUCAUGCCUUGCUUGCCUGGCUAAGUUCUUCCUCGCCUUGCCAGAAUUACCAGCAAAAGGACCACCCCAAAUAUGGUUGACAACAGACAUAUUCUCAUCACUAUAAUUUUCUUUCUUUUUGCCUUUGUCUUUUCUUGAAGAUUCUGGUAGGUCUCUAUUUUCUCGACUACCUUGGCCUCUGACAUAUCCUUGUAGCUGACUUUGUCGUACCAAACUUUCAAUUUGUUCUUUGAGGUCAAAACACUCAGAUGUAUCAUGCCCAACAUCUUUAUAAAAAUGGCAAUACUUCUUUUGGUUCCUCCGCGAACGAUCAGAUUUCAGUGGCGGAGGGGCUUUAAACAAGGUGGAAUUUUUCAUUUGCAUUAGAAUGUGCUCCCUAGGAGCAUUCAACUCAGUAUAGUUAGUAAACUGUACAGGAGGUCGAGAACGAGGCUCUUGAGAGCUGAGUUGGUCCCAGGGGCGGAAUUGAUCCUUUCUAGAAGCUUGAUCGGGUCGUCCAGGUCUUAUAUCACGCCUGUCUUCCUUCGUCUUCUUAUUUUUACUUGAUUCACCUUUUUCUCGCCCUUUCUUACUUUGAAAUCUUUCUUCUGCAUUGGCAUAUUUCUCAGCCCGAGAGAGCAUCUCUGAAUAUGUCGAUGGUGGAUUCUUUGCUACUGACCACCAUAGUCUUCCCAUCUGUAGGCCUUCCAUUAACCCGGAAAGAGCAACCCCGUCAUCAUAUCCAUCCACUUGAGUGGUCUCGGCAUUAUACCUUUGAAUAUACUCCCUUAGAGAUUCACCCUCAUGUUGUUUCACCGUCAAAAGGUAGGUUACUGGCUUUCCUCUUUGUCUUGCACUAUGAAAAUGCAUUGUAAAUUCUCGGAUCAAUUCAUUGAAUGAAGAAAUAGAGUUUGGCCUUAACAUUCGAAACCACCUUCUUGCAGCCCUAGACAAGGUAAGAGGAAAAGCUCGACAUAAAAUGGCUGAAGACACGCCCUGAACUUCCAUAAGAGAACGAUAUAGCUCGACAUGCUCCAUAGGAUAUUUUUGUCCGUCAUAAGGCUCUAUUGAUGGAAGUCGAAACCCUGACGGGUAUCUAGCUCUCAUGAUUUCUUGUGUAAAUGGUGGCUCAGACUCAGCCAUCAUAUCGUCUUGUGAUCCCAUUCCACGAACCAUUUGUUCAAGUCUUUGCAUUCUCUCUUGUAAAUCAGAUGGCUCAUCAUUAUCUCGGGUUGCUCUUUGUCAUGUCCGUCUCUGAUUGAGAGCAUGUCUCAAAUCAUCAUCACUCAAAUCAUCUCUUGAUCUUGUCCGGGAAGAGCUGGAGUUUGCUGCAUUGCUAUCAAAGUUGCUGAAGUUAGCUUGUUCAUCAUUUCGGGCUUGAAACUGAUCGAACAUUAUGUUGAAGUUUGUUGUCAAUUGCUCCAUUUGCCUCUGAAGUCGGGCAAUCCUACCGCGCCUUUGGCGUCGAGCUUGAACAUUUGGAUCUGGCUGUGGAUGUUGUGCAUGAAAUUGUUGAUUUGGAUUUUGUUGGAGGUUAGGUGGAUGCAUUGGGACUGUAGAUUCACUUCCGGGAUCUACAACAUAUCUUUGUCGUCGAAAAUGAAUCUCGGCAUCCCUGGAACUUUCAUCAUCAGCAUCAAGCUUGGAGUAGUUAUAAUUGUCGCCCAUGCUUAAGGUGAUCACAUUGGCUUUUUACUCUUCCCCACAGACGGCGCCAACUGUCGUUACAAUUUUUGUUCGACACGUAAUAACUAAGUUUUUGCUUCGGAUUCCUUUCUAUAUUAAGCUUUGUGAAUCAUCUCUCCAUGAUAUGAAAGUUUCUACUGGCAAAGGUUCUGCAAAAGAAAUGAAAUUGUCAAAGGGUGCCGGGGUUGCCGGCGAUGACCCUCCGACGCUCAAGUCAGCCUUUCAAAUUUUAUCAUAGAGAGAGAAAGUUUUAAGAAAAAAGGACAACAUUUCGUUACCAUUUUUUCUCCUUCCCCUUUGUGUGGAAAGUUCUGAUCAUUAUAUAGGCAGCUUAAUUCAUGAGGUGGAGGGGACCUAGGUCACUCUUUGUAGAUACGAACGUUCGGCGUUUUGCCGAAAAGUUGCCCUUUGGGCGUUUAAAAUGGACCUAGGUCCCUCUUUAUGAAGAGGGGACCUAGGUCACUCUUUAUAGAUACGAACGUUUGGCGUUUUGCCGAAAAGUUGCCAUUUGAGCGUUUAAAAUGGACCUAGGUCACUCUUUGUAGAUACGAACGUUCGGCGUUUUGCCGAAAAGUUGCCCUUUGGGCGUUUAAAAUGGACCUAGGUCCCUCUUUAUGAAGAGUGGACUUAGGUCACUCUUUGUAGAUACGAACGUUCGGCGUUUUGCCGAAAAGUUGCCCUUUGGGCGUUUAAAAUGGACCUAGGUCCCUCUUUAUGAAGAGGGGACCUAGGUCACUCUUUAUAGAUACGAACGUUUGGCGUUUUGCCGAAAAGUUGCCAUUUGAGCGUUUAAAAUGGACCUAGGUCACUCUUUGUAGAUACGAACGUUCGGCGUUUUGCCGAAAAGUUGCCCUUUGGGCGUUUAAAAUGGACCUAGGUCCCUCUUUAUGAAGAGUGGACCUAGGUCACUCUUUGUAGAUAGAAACGUUUGGCUUUUUGCCGAAAAGUUGCCCUUUGGGCAUUUGAAAUGGACCUAGGUCCCUCUUUAUGAAGAGUGGACUUAGGUCACUCUUUGUAGAUACGAACGUUCGGCGUUUUGCCGAAAAGUUGCCCUUUGGGCAUUUAAAACGGACCUAGGUCCUUCUUUAUGAAGAGUGGACCUGGGUCGCUCUUUGUAGAAAAUGUAUAUUGGUCACCUUUUGUAUAAACUUACCUUUAGCGUUUUGUCGAAGAGUCGCCCUUUGGGCGUUUUAUCUAGAAUGGACCUAUGUCUUUUUUUAUAAAAAGUGGACCUAGGUCGCUUUCUAUAGAAAAUGGCGUUUUGCCGAAGAGUUGCCCUUUGAGCAUUUUAUCUAGGAUGGAUCUAGGUUACUACUUAUUGGGCCUAUACUCAUGUGGGCUUCUCUUUUUUGUUUUUUUGUUUUUUUGUUGGGGCUUAUUAUAAUUUUGGUACAACAAAAUCUAUAGAGAAGCUCCUUAAGCAAAGAGAAAAAUUAUUGGUGCAUAUUGUUGGUUUGACAUAUAACCGUGGCCACAAAAGCUAAGUAAAUUCUCA
rnacentral:lncRNA from 1 species